AAUGUCUAGAAGAAAAGUGCGAGAGCUAAGCAUUCUUCAAGGGACUCCAAACUCGGCAGAAACAAACAGCACUGAACAACAGACUGCUAUUGGAUCUUCGAAUGUUCCGAUUACACCAGAGGAACCUACAGAAGUUGAAACUGAAAAUGGUGGGACGCGGAGAGUUCGAGGACGUAUGCUACUAAGGGAUUUAUACGAGCUAGAUCCAGUCGAGCGUGUCAAAGUAUCCAGUAAUAGCUUUGGUUAGCCUGUUGGAUCAGAAGCUCGCCUUUUAGCAGGAUACUUGGGCAUUCUAGCACGGAAUGCAAAUAUGUUGCAAAUUAACUUCGAGUCCUGGCAUAAAAUGCCCGAGAGUAACAAGAACCAAGCUCUCGAUAACAUUAAGGCGAGAUUUGCUCUAAAGGUCUCUGAUGCUUAUGUAAAGAAGGCAUUGGGAAAAAGAUGGAGAGACCAUAAGAGCACUUUAAAGAAAGACUAUUUUAAGACAAAAACAACACUCGACGAGAAAUUACAAAAUGUCUCGCCGGGAAUGCUGAGGUACCAGUGGGAAGAGGUCGUUAGAUUUUGGACUUUGAAGAAAUGAGAGGUAUGUGUUACUACAAAAAUCUUGUAAUUAUUUUGGUUUAUUAUAUUUACUAUUGAUGUACUAAUAAUUUCAUAACGUAUGAUCGUGAACGAGUUGGAAAACGUAGUAGGCAGAAACAAAAAUUCACUCACACAGCUGGGUCGAAAAGUUUUGCUUCUGUAGCUCAGGCCGAGGUAUUUUAAAUUUUUUAAUACUG